UGAGGGAUAUUGCACAAUGGGGGAAACCCUGAUGCAGCGACGCCGCGUGGGUGAUGAAGGACUUCGGUUCGUAAAACCCUUUUCUAGAUGACGCGGUAGCUAGGAAUAAGUGUCGGCUAACUACGUGCCAGCAGCCGCGGAAAACGUGGACACGAGCGUUAUCCGGAGUUACUGGGCGUAAAGGGCGUGCAGGCGGUUGGUAAGACUGAUGUGAAAGCGCCCGGCUUAACUGGGCGAGGACAUUGGUGACUGCGCGACUAGAGGCAGAUAGAGGGGUGUAGAAUUCCGGGUGUAGUGGUGAAAUGCGUAGAGAUCCGGAGGAAUACCAGAGGCGAAGGCGGCACCCUGGGUCUGACCUGACGCUGAGACGCGACAGCAUGGGGAGCGAACGGG
rnacentral:rRNA from 1 species